CAACUUUCAACAACGGAUCUCUUGGUUCUGGCAUCGAUGAAGAACGCAGCGAAAUGCGAUAAGUAGUGUGAAUUGCAGAAUUCAGUGAAUCAUCGAAUCUUUGAACGCACAUUGCGCCCCUUGGUAUUCCAUGGGGCAUGCCUGUUCGAGCGUCA
rnacentral:rRNA from 1 species